ACACUCCUGCGGGAGGCAGCAGUGGGGAAUUUUGGACAAUGGGGGCAACCCUGAUCCAGCAAUGCCGCGUGAGUGAAGAAGGCCUCCGGGUUGUAAAGCUCUUUUGUCAGGGAAGAAACGGUGGUGGCGAAUAACUACUACUAAUGACGGUACCUGAAGAAUAAGCACCGGCUAACUACGUGCCAGCAGCCGCGGUAAUACGUAGGGUGCAAGCGUUAAUCGGAAUUACUGGGCGUAAAGCGUGCGCAGGCGGUUGUGUAAGUCAGAUGUGAAAUCCCCGGGCUCAACCUGGGAAUUGCAUUUGAGACUGCACGGCUAGAGUGUGUCAGAGGGGGGUAGAAUUCCACGUGUAGCAGUGAAAUGCGUAGAUAUGUGGAGGAAUACCGAUGGCGAAGGCAGCCCCCUGGGAUAACACUGACGCUCAUGCACGAAAGCGUGGGGAGCAAACAGGAUUAGAUACCCCUGUAGUCCCAU
rnacentral:rRNA from 1 species